AGUAUAAUACAAAGAGUGCCGUAGACAGUAGGUGACAAUAGUCGUAACGUGGAACUACCUACCGAGGAUACAUUUGAUUUGUAUUUUUCACCCUGUCUGCCCGACAGGGUUUUUUUAUACGGCU
rfam:Eubacterium sp. CAG:274 genomic scaffold, scf52